CCUACGGGGGGCAGCAGUGGGGAAUCUUGCACAAUGGGCGAAAGCCUGAUGCAGCGACGCCGCGUGCGGGACGAAGGCCUUCGGGUUGUAAACCGCUUUCAGCAGGGACGAGGCGUAAGUGACGGUACCUGCAGAAGAAGCCCCGGCUAACUACGUGCCAGCAGCCGCGGUAAUACGUAGGGGGCAAGCGUUAUCCGGAUUCAUUGGGCGUAAAGCGCUCGUAGGCGGUCUGUUAGGUCGGGAGUUAAAUCCGGAGGCUCAACCUCCGUCCGCUCCCGAUACCGGCAGACUUGAGUUUGGUAGGGGAAGGUGGAAUUCCUAGUGUAGCGGUGGAAUGCGCAGAUAUUAGGAAGAACACCAGUGGCGAAGGCGGCCUUCUGGGCCAUAACUGACGCUGAGGAGCGAAAGCUAGGGGAGCAAACAGGAUUAGAUACCCGUGUAGUC
rnacentral:rRNA from 1 species